UGGGAACUUUAUUCUCUCUCCAUGUGCAUGAAAUGAGUGAAAAAUAAAUUCUGUCUUUCUUUUACACACAAGCAGUUUUUCUCAGUGAGAUUUAUCGCAAACUGAGCAUAGGCCACAUGGUCUGAAUGAAUGGGCUUUUCCAUAAUUGCCUUAUUAAUCACAUUUUGUGGUAAAUAAAUAUGUUCAGAACCCUAUAAAUAAAACUAUAAAACCUACAAGGUUCUAAAUAUAUUUAUUAAGCACACAAUGUGAUAAAGGCAAUUAUUGAUAAUCCCACUGUGUAAUUUGAGUUUAGACAAGAAGCACCAAAUAUGGGCAUCUGAAAACUACAGACUGAUGCACAACAGCAGGAGUAAUUUUCUUACAGACAAUGAAUAUUUAAAAUGUUUAUUGCUUUACUUUAUGCUGCAGGGAGGCAUUUUUGAAGAUGAUUUCACAUAAAUCCCAAACGUUGAUGGAUUUCUUGCCUUCCUCCAGGGAUAAUCCACUUCUGACUACUUUCCUCUUCUGGGUGAAUAUGUACCAUGACGAUUAUGUUUUGGAUACUCAGUGUGAAUCAUCAUUUCUUCUUGAGCUACAAGAGAGCACAUCUAUUCUCUUCUACACAACCAUGGACCACAGAUUCCUUGCAGUGAUGGUGCAGCAGCAGAACAUACUCCUCCAUGUGCUGGACCAGACCGGGAGGAGGAGGAGGCGGCAAAAAAUAUUUUUAUGGACGUCGACGUCCA
rnacentral:lncRNA from 1 species